GAUGAACGCUGGCGGCGUGCCUAAUACAUGCAAGUCGAGCGAACAGACGAGGAGCUUUCUCCUCUGACGUUAGCGGCGGGCGGGUGAGUAACACGUAGAUAACCUACCUAUAAGACUGGGAUAACUUCGGGAGACCGGAUCUAAUACCGGAUCAUAUAUUGAACCGGAUGGUUCAAUAGUGCAAGACGGUUUUGCUGUCACUAAUAGCUGGAUCCGCGGUGGAUUAGCUAGUUGGUAAGGUAACCGCCUACCAAGGGAACGAUGCGUAGCCGACCCGAGAGGGGGAUCAGCCAAACUGGGACUGAGAAAAGGGCCAGACUCCUACGGGAGGCAGCAGUGGGGAAUAUUGGACAAUGGGCGGAAGCCUGAUCCAGCCAAGCCGCGUGGGUGAAGAAGGGCUUCGGGUUGUAAAACCCUUUUAUUUGGGAAGAAAAAAAGUAGGAAAAAACCAUGCUGUUCUGACGGUACCCAAAGAAUAAGCACCGGCUAACUUCGUG
rnacentral:rRNA from 1 species